ensembl:lncRNA
UUCAUGUGGAUAUGGAGGUGAGCUGUAUUUAUUGUUUGUAUAAGAGUUUUGCCCCUAACUGUUAGAAGUGAGGCCAAAUGUCUGUUGUGUUUAUGUUGCAGAGUCAGAAAUUGGAUCGCCCCGCUCUUGACACUUCUGUUAUAGACAGCCCAUCUACGCCUUUGUUUUCCUCCUCCUCUGACAGCAACAUCAGCUCUCCAACACCCUUCAAUUCUCCAAAACCUAAACACAAAGAUUGUUCUGGCGCCACUAAAAAGCUUCGGCUCAUUAGUCCAGAGUAUGUCAUAUACACUGACACAGAACUAGAACUAGCAAGAAGUGCUUACUUUGAAAAGCAGCGUGCUGGACAACACGAAGACUACACCAUGCCAAAAGACUUGCGCUGUAGACUCAUUAGGAAUACAGUAACAGGCAUGAUUGCUAUGAAAAGAGCGUCCGAGGAUGAUUUUAAGUACCCAGGCUCCCAUGAACUGACUGCCAUGGCUAAGCGUCUAGUAGAAUACUACCCAAUGCUGUGAGACAAGUCUACGUCCAAUACACCUGAAUGGGAAAUGGUGAAGAAGCAGUUGAUGAAAAGGGUUCAGAAUGUGACAACUCCAAAAAAGAAGCAAGGUCCAACCCCAUCAAGAAAAGGACCUAGAAGCCUCAAAUUCCAGAGCAGCCAGGCGACGUGCACUGAAGAGAGUGAUGAACCUUUCUCCUCCCCUGCUUCAGUCUCUUCAGCUGCUUCAUCAGUCGCCUCGUCGUCUUCCUCCACUGUGAUCUUAGAGAAGUCAACUCCUUCUACAAGUACUUCCCAAGAGGUGGAUCUCUUUAGUGCUAGAGAGAGCCCACAGAGCCAAGCGAGACACUAUAAAACUCUGCAGGAUUUGUACAAAACUAAGAACAAACCCAACAAGGAAGAUGUAUCCCAGCUGCUGGAAUUGGAGUUCCAAUCUAGACGAGCUUUCAUUGACUCUGAUGUGAUGAAGGAACAGGACAGGCCUAUGAAGAUACUGCAGGCUUAUCCAUGUUUUAAAGAACUUGGCCAUAUCAUCGAUGAACUCCAGCGAAUCCUUGAUAAAGGAAACCCCUUCUUCACAAUGGAGCUGAAGAAACGUUGGCUGAGAUUUUUUAACCAGGCACAGUUUUAUGGGGUGUUCAAAAAAAUAAUAGGACCACCACUGCAGGACCAAGGUAAGGAUGAUUUAUUUGCUGUUACCCACAUACACAAAGACCUAAAAUGAUUAGGUUAAGAAUUAAACAGUAAAGAAUGCACUUGCUGUCCUGAAAGUACUGCCUCAGAUGUUCCCUUCGCAUGUAGCUCUGCCGAAGAGGUUGGGACACCCAAGUGAUGCUUUGAUUCACAUUUUGAAGGUAAGGUAAAUAUACAUAUACACACACACACACACACACAUAUAAUUAGAAUAUCAUGAAAAAGUUCAUUUAUUUCUGUAAUUCAACUUAAAAUGUGAAACUAAUAUGUGAUAUAGACUCAACAUGCAAAGUGACAUAAUGUCAAGCCUUUAUUUUUUAUAAUUUGGAUGAUUAUGGCUUACAGUCUAUUUUCAAAAUAAUCAAAUUUUAUGAGAUAUUUAAUUUGGGGUUUUUACAAGCUGAGCCAUAAUAAUCAAAAUUAUAACAAAUAAAGGCUAUACAUAUCUCA